AUUGAACGCUGGCGGCAGGCCUAACACAUGCAAGUCGAACGAGUGGCGGACGGGUGAGUAAUGUAUGGGGAACUGCCCGAUGGAGGGGGAUAACUACUGGAAACGGUGGCUAAUACCGCAUACCAUCGGAUGUACCCAUAUGGGAUUAGCUAGUAGGUGGGGUAACGGCUCACCAAGGCGACGAUCCCUAGCUGGUCUGCGAGGAUGACCAGCCACACUGGAACGGAGACACGGCCCAGACGCCUACGGGAGGCAGCAGGGGGGAAUAUUGCACAAUGGGCGCAAGCCUGAUGCAGCCAUGCCGCGUGUAUGAAGAAGGCCUUCGGGUUGUAAAGUACUUUCAGCGGGGAGGCGUUACCCGCAGAAGAAGCACCGGCUAACUCCGUGCCAGCAGCCGCGGUAAUAC
rnacentral:rRNA from 1 species